rnacentral:lncRNA from 1 species
CCCUUUUUCCUGCUGGUAGCUUGCCAUUUCUCACGCAUGCCCUUCACUGCAGCAUGGUAUGAAGAACAUGGGGACGGGGAGCCUCUCCAACUGGUGGUUGAGCACGGCGGAGCGCCUCAAGGCUGAAGCACUAGAACACGUUUACCACCCUCGUCUGCUGGACGGUACGCUGCGGAAAGAGCACAGCGCCUGAAUAUUCAAUCAUGAAUGAAAAAACAGAAAAUUCAAAAAAAAUGAAUGAAAAAACAGAAUGGAUCAAAUGACUGUAUGACAAAUUGAUGGCCAAAUAUUUCUGUUUUGUGUGAGAAUUUAUAGGGUUUACCUUUUUUUCCUAGCAUGCCUCAUGAGGAUUAAUGUAGAUGCUUCGUUGGGGGCCUCCAACAAGUAAUAGUAAGAUUGUGUUACUCCCUCCGACCCAUAUUAAUUGUUGUUGCUUUAGUACAACUUUGUACUAAAGAUGGUCUGUCUAGUUUAGUUCCUGCAGAAUAUUGUCUAAGCAUUUGCAUCAAGGUCCUUCGUGGUGAAGAACUAGUACAUGUUCCUAGUGACAUCAAAUAGGGUGUAGGCCUGGUGGGACGUUUUACCUAGCAUCUCCCUUCACAAAGCUCAUCAUGUCCCACUCCUCUGCCUGGUUAGAGCAUCGCAAUUCGCAAUAGGGCCUUCCCACCUGCCAAAAACAAAGAACCUCACUAAUAGUUCAGUUCAUACGCAUUGGUGAUUUGGCGUAAAGUAACAUGGUCCUUUCACGUGUCGCAAAUACGGCAAAUUUGACAAUUUUAACCCGUGGAUGAAAUCAUUUCAUAAAAUGAACUGCACCUAAAAAAAUUUCACUCAGCUGAC